CCCUGGCGGCGCGUGCCCCGCGCUGAAGGCCCCGGGCGCUCCGCGUGCCCUUCGCUCCGAUUUCUGCCCGUUUCCUCUCUCUGUAGACGUACGGCGAUGUAGGAUGAGCGUACGGACCUCUGCGGUGCCGCGCCCGCGCGGCGCAGCCCUGAAGGAGACAACUUCCCGGCACCGUCCGACCCGGCAGCGUUGCGGCAUCCCGCGGCUGCCGGCCCUCCUCCUGCAGUCCGCGCUGGAAAACGGCCCCGCCGGCUUCAGCGUCGUGGGGCAGAAGCGGAGGAGCCGCGGCGUGCGGCUCUCGGCAUCGAUCGGCCUUAAAAGCUUAGAUCGAUGUUCAGGAUAACGCGUGGCUGGAAAUUAAGCUGCUGUAGGGAGAUACCGCUCUGCUGCAGAAGGGUUUUGGCUGUGAGUGGUUCGGCUGUGGUCACGCACUCAGCACAAAGGACCUGUAACAACGCCUUUUUCUUUUCCCGAGAUCAAAAAAGGUUAUGUGAGCGGCGGCGUUUCUUAGAUGCUGUGUUUCUUAGAUGCUGUGUGCGUAGCAGCAGCCCGGCUUCAGGGCAAGGUGGUGGAAAAACGGUGCUGUGUCUGUAUGGUGCUGGAAGGGAGCAGCCAGCAGGAGGUUGGUGGUUUGCACGCAACGUCUGACAUCACAAAUAGCGUAUAGACAUUGUUAAUGCCGUUGUUGGUGUGACCCAGAACCCUUUGGGUGAUGGUGCUCGUGUGGAAGGACGUGAGCAGAAAGUUACAUCCUGCCCAUUAGGAUGUACUGCUGUGUUCUUUCACCUGCAGCUUCCUGAGACUGGUGUGGUUUGGGGCUUUGUGGGAUGUGGUCUGUUCUGUUAGGACAACUGCUCGUUGUAGACACGAAGAAGAAAAGGGAAGUAGUAGGUUUGUCUUUCAUUAACCUUGACAACUCUGUUGCCUUGCUUGUUCUUAGGUACAACUCUUGCAUGUUAAAGCCACAGAGUUACUCCUCUUAAGCACGGGAACUUACGUUUCUAGGCAAAUAUUUACAUCGAAGUUCCAGCAGUAGACAGGAGUUGUUGGUUGUUCCAUCAUGUAGGGCUGUCAGAAAAACAAGGAGCAUAGACCAUGAGUUGAAGGCUGGGUCCUUUGUCCACCCAAGAAUGCCUUGUAAAGUCCAGGAGAAUAGCAGCAUGGUUUGGCUUCAGAAAGACUUUUAGGUAAGUCUUGCCUGGUAUCACGAUGGCAGGAAUACCACUUGAACUCUGUGUAAAAGAGAGGAUCCCAUCUCAUUUUAGAAGAGGAAAUGAGGGAUGAUACCUGUAGGGAAAGAUUACCAUUCGAACAGAACUAAUUUUCAUCAGGGUGGGGAAUAAUUCCAAGAUCUGAAGGGCUGUUGAAGGCUUCUGAGCUUCCUUUUAUAAAUAGGGAACUGCCAUUAACCUUAACCUUAGCUUUGACCCUGCAGUCUGGGAGGCUGCUCUGUUACGCUGUGAAACGUUUCCAGCUCUGUGGCUCGAGUGAGUGCUGAGGUGACCUGGGCUGUGGGGUUGGGUGAUCAUGUAAUUUGCAUAUAGAGCACGAGAUGAGAACGAUUAGAAAAUGGUGACCUUUUCUCCCGUCUCUUUCAGUUCUGUGCUGAAAUAACCAGGCUGACACGUUUCAGGCCGUGAGCUGUUCCCUGCAGCUGAUGAUUCGACAGCUUUGUGGCUCUCUCAGGCUCUGAGCACGCAUGGUAUCAGGCAGGCAUGUGCCCCACAAGGCUUUGUGAGACAUGAGUCUGAGUGUUCGCUGGCUUCAUGCUAAGCCCUUGGUUUUCCCUGGUAUUAAACCAUACUCUUAUCCCAGCAAUGCCAAACGGUGCAGGUUGGGAGUGCUGUUCUGAUGGCUGUUGGUAUAGAAGGUUCAGGAGCCUGCUUGUUCCAAUCCACUCCCUCUUAUCUUUCAACACUGCCAUCAGCCUUUCCUAUGUGAAAGCAGCGCGUUCUGCUGUGGGAGGGAUCCCAGCAGCCUACGUCCUGGGGCAGGGAGAUGCAGGGGAGCGUUGCCAGGAACUUCAGGACCUGUUGGUGGGGAAGGCCAAUUGUUUGCACGUAGCAUGCUGGUUGUGGCAUGAAGCUAGAUAGAAAUCUCCCAGGAAUGUUAUCUUUGGGUAUUGCUUGUGCUUGAAUGGAUCUAAAAAGAAAGUUACGGUGCAUUAUGUAAGCAAGAUAGAGUCAGGUGGAUUUUUAGCUUAAAGUUUGGUAGUUUGCUAAUGGGAGGAAUUUGUCUUUGAGUGCUGCUGUCUGUGAAGUGACCGGAGCAGACCAGCUCCUUGAGAUCUGAUUCCAGAAGAAGGCUGUCCUGUGUGUGAUGGAGCAUAUGAUUUCAUGCAGUUAUAAAACAUAGCCUUAGCUAAAAGGAAUCGUCAUGUUGCCCUCAUUGUGUCCUCGUAAUUUGUUAUUUCCAUUUAUGUUUGGGGUCUGUGGAAACGAUUCAGCCAAGACUGAGGUACUGAUGUAUGGAUGGUCACUGUUUCUUCAGAGCAACAUCCACCCUGAAAAGCAGUGCGGAGUUGUCCAAAAUGCUUUGUAGUCACGUUGGUUCUUUUUGUUUAUAGAAAGAAAAAGGUCCAUUCUGACCGUAUCAGUGAGGUUUCCUGGGUUAUUUUGUACCAGAGCUUAUUGCUGGAAUUCUCUGCGUCGUGCUGAAGUGUGGGUGUCCCAUCCUGGAGGGUUCAGGACCAGGCUGGAAGGGGCCCUGGGCAGUCUGAGCUGGUGGGGGCAGCUCUGCCUAUGGUGGAUGUUGAGACUGGAUGGGCUUUGAGAUCCCUUCCAGCCCAACCAUUCUGUGCUGUAAGGUGAGCAGGGAGGUGCUGCUUGGAUCAGAUGCUUCAGUGCCCGCCUGCUAUCUCAGCAUCAUUUGUGUUUUUGCAGCUGAUUGAACUAUUGCUUCUGGUGUUUGGGAGCCUGAAUUGUAUGCAUGUGGACAGGUGAGCUGGGAGUGCUCCCUGCUCAGUUUGGAGUCAGGUUCCUGAUGGCUCACCUGUGCACCUUUCACCUUUUCUCUCUUUCUGCAGCAAAGCAGCGCUUUGUGACUUUCAGCUUCCUAUGUUGUGUAGGUGGAAAGCAGUCUGUGCUGCACUUCUCAGACAGAAAUAGUCGUGGUCUGUGACUGCAGUAGGCAGGUAGUGGAAAAACUGGAGCUGAACUAAAUCACCUGCCAUAUCUCCAAUACGGACUUGUAAUCACUGACAGUAAUUCCUGACUUUUGAGAGCAAGAUAUUCAAGCAAUACUUGAAUAUUGGGCUUGUAUCGUAAAAUGGGGCUGAAGCUUUGCUGUCUCUUGUGGAAGAUGGCCUCUUAGAGCAGCGCCCUGUGAGGGUUCCUCCAUUCCUGGGCAGAGGGAGGAGGUGACCUGGGAGGCAGCACACAGCCUGUGCGGCUGUCAGGUGAGAAGGAAUGAAGAAAUGGGCUCUGUGGCACGAUGCAGUUCAGUUUACAGUAUCAGCAGUGUCUGCAGUGAAGGGAAUCGUGAGGCUGAGCAGGAAAAUGGAGCGGGUUGGGAUGCAGCCGGUGGUGGCGGUUUGUGCUGAGCCGUAGGCAGCAGCCAGAAGACCUUUCCAGUGCUUCCCUCCUUACAGCUGCAGCAGCAUUGCUGGCUGGAGCGGCCACGGCAGCUCUCAUUGCAUUCCAGGGCGCGGGACUGCGCUGCUGCGCUCUGCAGUGAUCUGAUGGCAGUGGCUGAGAGUGCAGCGGCGGUAACGGCAGCAGCGGGGUUAUGUGAGGACACUGCUCUGGUCUUAACUCUUUGCUUGCCUGCUCUGCUUUCUUCUAAUGGCAGCACUCGCAGGCUUUGCUGGGCAAUUGCAGCAUUUUGCCACUUGAUUACUCAACUGAGACUUACUGUUGGCAGGGGAAACCAAACAAAACGUAGAUCCUGCCAUUUCUAAGCUAUGAAAAGUCGAAGCUCUGCGUUUAGAUCCAUCACACUGCCCUAAGCACAGGCUCUGGGGAGACAGGCACCUCGGCAGUAUGUGCUGCCUAAUGUGCCCACACACCCAGAAUGGGGGGAGCGGCCUAAAGCACGGUAGCCCAAUGGCUGUGGUCAACCUCCUGCAUCUCCUCAAGGUGACAUUGUAGAACCUGUUCGACUUAACUUUGUGUUUGGUCCAGAAUCUCAACAGCUUCUCUGUGGGAUCUUCAUCCAACACUGUGAAUGCUGCAUGAGUCCCAGUGAACCUGUCCAGCUGUCAGCCUAAAUUACUGUAAAUCAGAAGCUGCAAGUGUGCAGUGCGGUAUGUAGGAACACAGAGCUGCCCUUGUCGGCCAUAAAUCUGUCUGCUUAAGGACUUUUGGUUUUCUGGGGCCUGUAAUUGAACUGAGCAGCAAGUUUGUUGUGUGUGUGCUAGCAUGAGAAACUGAAAAGUUUCUCCUGAGCUGGGGGCGGGGAGGAGGAAGGGUGGCUGCUCUCACUGUGCUCUUUCAAUCCUGAUCAGGAAAUGGGCUUUUGAUUACGGUGCUCUCAGAGAUAGCAGUGGUUCUGCACAUGGGAGGAAUGUGGAGGGUGUCCACGUUGUGUCACCUAGCAGAUCUCUGCAUGGGACUUCAGGUUAUUAAUCUUACUGGAAUGUGGGAUGUUUCAGAAGUCUGAAGUACAGUGGAUGCUGAAUUGUUGUUUGGCUAAAGGUUGCUUUAUAUUGAACUUGAAACAAGGUAAACCGAGCUGGUUUUUGAACAGCGUGGGAACAGGCUUUCUGGACAGGCUGGCUUGCUGGGCUGAGGCCAUUGGGAUGAAGUUCAACAUGUCCAAGUGCUGGGUCCUGCACUUCAGCCACAACACCAACCAAUGCUACAAGCCUGGGGCAGAGAGGCUGGAUGCCUGUGUGGAAGAAAUGGGCCUGGAGGUGUUGGCUGAUGCUUGACUAAGUAUGAGCCAGCAGUGUGCCCGGGUGGCCAAGAAGACCAAUGGCAUCCUGGCUUGUGUCAGAAAUAGUGCAGCCAGCAGGAGCAGAGAAGUGAGCAUCCCCCUAUACUCAGCCCUGGUGAGGCCACACCUCGAGUGCUGUGUUCAGUUUAAAUAACAUUCAUAGUUGCAUCCAGUCUUGAAGCAUCUCCUGAAUGUGAAGACUACAAGUGAUGUACAGUCUGCUUGGAAGCUGUGGAAACGCUCAGUGGAUCAAAGGCAGAAGUGCAGACUGCGCCAGGGAGUCAGAAUCACUGCUUCUAUCUCUGCUUUGAAAACCUGCAGAAAUGAAUCAGCUGGCUCCGUUGCUUUGCAGAGCGACCUUUGGGUAUCUUACAGAAUAUCCAUUGCCUGCGGAUGUCCACUGACUCCUCAUUUAGAUGUAGGUGUUGCUCAGCUCUCCUGCAACAUAGGAGUGAUUCAGAAGUCCUUAACCUGUUUGGAUGCACAGGUUCUGCCUCAGCUCACCGUAUGGAAUUCCAUCUGUGUGCAUGCAAGUGUUAGAUGCCACAUGGAGGAUGCGGCACGAGGGUGGUGAAAAAGGGUAGAUAAAUGAAUGUUGUGAGUUCCUGGGUGCGGGUUGUGGAUCAUCAAGCAUAAUGUGCCAAUCAAGACCAGGAGAGAAGAGCAGCCUGUGGGCCCUGGGAGGUCCUGCAGCAGGGAAAGCUGGGACUUCUGGGAGUUCCUACGUGAAUGAGAACACGAGGAGGAAAUUUGUCGUUGUUUGAUUUGGAUGAAAUCCUUAAGAAUUUGUGGCUAAGGGCCAGAGUUUAAUCUUUUUAAGGCAGAAGACUAGAUAAGUGAUUUCUGAAGGCCUUUUAAGGAGCAGAACACCCUACCGUGUGAUGCUCGUCCAGAAGAGCUGCGGUUCUCAUAUCUUAAAUAGACGAUAACUGAAGAAAUGCUUAAUCCUCAUUAUGGAAUAGAUUAUGCCUUAAACAGUGAGGUCUUUAUAAUCUAACAGCACAGCAUUGAUGCAUGAGGGGUUAAUAUUUCUGGAACGGUUAUAUCACUGUCCUUAAAUUAAUUUGGAAAAAGAGGGAACGCAUGAGUGGUCUGCAGUGUGUGGGUGCCUACAUGUGCCAGUGCUAAACGAAAUUAUGCUAUUAAUGUGUCCCUUCACAACAUUGUCUCCUGAGUUAGUGGGAUACAUCUGUCUGGCUUCAACAGCUUGUCAGAUUGCAUUGCCAGAACUUCCUUCAAGAUGUCCGACCUCCUUUAAAGGUACUUCUGCUACAUGCAAAAGAGCUGGGAUGCACAAUGUGUAGGAGAACGCCAGGAAAUCUGUCCUGCAAAUUGACAUAGCAGUCCAGCACUUGAUGUGAAUGCAGUGGGGUAUGUUAUGCUUUAAGGCUUGGUCUCCCAUCACUAAGGGAUUUUUUUGGUGUUCUAAAUAGUGUUUCAGAGUUAUCAUUUUGAAUUAGGCCUGGAAGUUUCUGAUUGGAAACUUGAAUGUCAGCAGGCACUGCUGCUUCAUUUUCAGCACUGCUGCUCUCUGCAAGGCUUCCUUGGGAGAUGGGUGUUUCUAAUGCUGCUUUGCUUCAUCCACAUGGCUUGGCAUGGUGAAGGAAUCCUCAAGAGAGGUGUUGUGUUUGGAGUUAGGAGUGAGUCAAAACUCUUGAUAAAUCUGUUGUUGGUUGCUAAACUUCAAUCUCGAAAUGACUUAAAUGCAGGACAAGCCAGGUUUGUUUUUCUGAGCAGAGAAGAUGAGCUCUCUGACCAUCUCAGAGCCACGUUCUUUAUACAGCGUGUCUUACACAUGAAAUGUUGUCCUGCUUGCCCUCCCUCAGCUGCAGAUGUGUGGUGGUGGGGCGGUCCCAGUGCAGCUGGCUGCUGGCGCUCCUUUAUGUAGUGCUGGGUUUGCUUUGGUCGAUGCAAACCACUUUGAACAAGUGCAACUUUAUGCUCUUACAGAAAACUAAGAUGAUGCCUUCUCUCUUAGGAGUUCUGGGCAAAAAGACUGUGAUCUUAAAGAGCCAUUAUCUCAUUUAUGAUUUAUAGACAGCGAUGGUACUGUUGGAUAUAACUGUUUAAUCUGAAGAUGAUCAUGUGAGCAUCCCGCUAUGGCAUUCAGCUGCUCACUGGGGCGUGGGCUGUAUGAGCUGGAGGGUGGUGAAUAGAGAAAAGCACAGGACGAGGAGUGUGUGUGGAACUGGCUUUUAAGGGCAGCCUGCCGUGGGGGAGCUUGGAGCUUCUUUCAGCAUGUGGAAACCAACGGUGGGGACGACUUGUUUUCCAAAUACACAGGCUGAGGGUAUAAGCUGCUUCUGAGAGGCUUUGCUGUACCUACAGGAAAUCUCAGCCUUUGACCUGUUGGCCCGCAGCAGUUCAAAUUGUACCCGUUUCUGCCAAGUGGAUGUCAUGUACUUAGCUCCUUCGACACUGUUUAGAAUAGACUUGAAUUUACGAUUAACUGGAUUAACUUAAGGUUUAACUGGCUAAUAGCAGAGUAAUAGCUACCACCAUGCUUUGAGAAUGUUAUUUGCGUAGGGAUGCAAGACUGAACACAGUGGACAUGCAUGCUGCUCUGCUCUGAAGGUGGCCCUUACACUGGGGUGCUGCAGGCAGACCCCUCUGGCCUGUGGGGCUGUGCUGGACAUUAACAUCUGAUAUUACUUAGACCAUUCCUUACUGUUAACAGAUUUUCCUUUGUUUGCAGAGGCUGCUCUGUUACGUUGACCUUCUAGACAAAGUCCUUUCACGUUCAACUUGGUAGAUUUUAUGGGGUAGGGUAUAUUGUAUAGAUGUGAAGGAUAGGACGUAGCACAUUGCUGCUCUAUCUGAAUUCAGCUGUGUUGCAGGUGCUGUCAUUGCCUCUGCGGUGCCUGAACAGUGGAUGGAGGGCUGGUGCUGUGACUUAGAGCUCCGCUUCUUUAAGAAGUGCUAAACCUGAUGGUUCUGAUGUAUGGAAAGGUAAUUGAAGUGGUACACUGACCUCGAGCUUCAAGGAAGAGCUGACUGGGAGCUGAGAGUUGCUUCGUAUUGAAGCUCUGGCUUUGAAGCUGGGGAAAAAGGAGUGCACGGAAUGCAUUACAGCAAGAUACACGCGUUUUUAUUUCUGCUGACAGAAUUUUAAAGCUGAUUUAAUGAUGAAACAACGACAGGGACUGGAAGUGUCUUUCACAGACAUUUCAUGUUAUACGUACCCAGCAAUCCAAGGAAAGGUCUGUUCCAUUCAACUACCCAACUAGCUGCCUGAACUGCGUGUGCAGGGGGAGGGCUUGGCUUCUGCCCAGCACUGUGAGUUAAACUUUGCCUUGUGGGGGAAGAAAAAAAAUCAGUUGUCUUUUCCUCUGAGUGUGUCAUAAACUGAAACAUUUGGGCCUGAUUUGUCACUCAGCUUUUCUGCCAGCAAAGGUAAGAAACAGAGGUAACCAGACUGCACUAGAAUACCCAAACCGUAUCUUCUGACAAAUGUUUCCUGAGGUUCCUGGCUUCAGUGGAGACAGUGUGCCAGCAGGAUCCUUCUCUGCAAGCAUCUGAUGGUCAUUUUUAACUCCCAUUAUAAUGUUGAUGUCACAAGGAAAUAAUGAUGACGUGAACGAAGCUAGGUCUCAAAGCAGGUGUAUAUACUAUGUUUAAGUGAUAAUCCUUCAUGAUUAAAGGUAAUAAUUGUAGAAUUAAGUUGUCUCAGUAAAACGCAGCUCAUGGUAUCAUCUCCAGAAGUUCAGAAACUGCCUUCUUCAUUGGCCCAGGUGUAUCAUUCCUAUAGUCAUUAGAAUGAUUCACUGAACUACGUGGACAUGGUCAGCAAAAUAGCAGCUAUGCAUAAUUAGUACCUGGGGGGGUUAAAGCGUUAAUUGACAUAGAAAGCUGCUAAUGAUGGAGUCUGAGAUGAGUGAUGAGCUAGUGAUGAAUUCUGCAAUCUUUCCUAUCUUGUGAAAAGACUUCUGUCCAAAAGCAAUGCUGCUGUUUCCGUUGCUGCCCGGUUGUACCUCACUGUGCUCUGAGAGGUCAUCCUGUGCUCUCCCGCACCCGUGCACCACGUGUUGGUGAGCUGAGCUGGGAACUGCUGGGCUCUCCAUUUUGUGCGCUGGUGUUCCGAAUUCAAACAAGGAUAAAGGUCUCAAUGCUCACAGUUAAAUUGAACACCUCCCUGUGCUUCACAAAGACUUUCUCAUGCUCAGAAAGUCGAGUGUAAAUGUGCAGGAGAUGCUACAAUUCCGGCAUGUAGGUAGGGUUUAUCUAAUUUGAUAGGACUGACAGCAUUUUGUUCUGAAAUUCACUGAACCUGUUCUUGAUCAGACCUCAACUGGUUGCUCUGUGGGCAGGAGCAGUUCUGUGCGGAGACAAACUUACAUAAGUCGCUGGGUUUGUGGCAUGAAUGGAUUAGAUGCUGCCAGCUGCUCGGUCUUUCAUAAUGAAGCAAAGUAUGUAAGUUGGCUCUGCUGUGGAAAAAGAUGGGUUAAAGACACCGUCUGCAUCUGAAAACCCAACAGAACGGGGAAGUGCAACUCCUCGCUAGUUGGCUGCUCUUAACCCUAACAGCUCUUUACUGACUACUUGUGCAGCCCAUGCCUCGCAUUGAGAAACCCUGCUGAGAUAGAAGUGCACCGUGGCCGUCAUCGUGGAGAUGGCUGAGCUUGGGACAGCUGCAGCUUGCACAAUGCCCUGCUUGUGGAGCUGCUGUGUGCCUUGCUGGUGGGCCGCUCGCAUCAUCUGUCUCCUGGAGGAAGUUGGCACUUGAGAGG
ensembl:lncRNA